rnacentral:tRNA from 1 species
UCCUCCGUGGCGCAAUUGGCUAGCGCGUCCGACUGUUAACUUAAUAGCAAUAUUUGACUUGCGAUCGGGAGGUUCGUGGUUCGAGCCCACGCGGGGGAG